UGGCGGCAUGCCUAACACAUGCAAGUCGAACGGAGAUUAUUUCGGUAAUCUUAGUGGCGAACGGGUGAGUAACGCGUAGGCAACCUGCCCUUUAGUUGGGGACAACAUCCCGAAAGGGGUGCUAAUACCGAAUGUGACAGUUUUUCCGCAUGGGAUUACUGUGAAAAGAUGGCCUCUAUUUAUAAGCUAUCGCUAAAGGAUGGGCCUGCGUCUGAUUAGCUAGUUGGUGGGGUAACGGCCUACCAAGGCGACGAUCAGUAGCCGGUCUGAGAGGAUGAACGGCCACAUUGGGACUGAGACACGGCCCAGACUCCUACGGGAGGCAGCAGUGGGGAAUCUUCCGCAAUGGGCGAAAGCCUGACGGAGCAAUGCCGCGUGAGUGAUGAAGGAAUUCGUUCCGUAAAGCUCUUUUGUUUAUGACGAAUGUGCAGAUUGUGAAUAAUGAUCUGUAAUGACGGUAGUAAACGAAUAAGCCACGGCUAACUACGUG
rnacentral:rRNA from 1 species